rnacentral:rRNA from 1 species
UGGGGAAUAUUGGACAAUGGGGGCAACCCUGAUCCAGCCAUGCCGCGUGUGUGAAGAAGGCCUUUUGGUUGUAAAGCACUUUAAGCAGUGAAGAAGACUCCAUGGUUAAUACCCAUGGACGAUGACAUUAGCUGCAGAAUAAGCACCGGCUAACUCUGUGCCAGCAGCCGCGGUAAUACAGAGGGUGCAAGCGUUAAUCGGAAUUACUGGGCGUAAAGCGAGCGUAGGUGGCUUGAUAAGUCAGAUGUGAAAGCCCCGGGCUUAACCUGGGAACGGCAUCUGAGACUGUUAGGCUAGAGUAGGUGAGAGGAAGGUAGAAUUCCAGGUGUAGCGGUGAAAUGCGUAGAGAUCUGGAGGAAUACCGAUGGCGAAGGCAGCCUUCUGGCAUCAUACUGACACUGAGGUUCGAAAGCGUGGGUAGCAAACA